CCCGCGUUUCAUUAGCUAGUUGGUAGGGUAAUGGCCUACCAAGGCAACGAUGAGUAGCUGGUCUGAGAGGAUGAUCAGCCACACUGGAACUGAAACACGGUCCAGACUCCUACGGGAGGCAGCAGUGGGGAAUAUUGCGCAAUGGGCGAAAGCCUGACGCAGCAACGCCGUGUGAGGGAUGAAGGCUUUCGGGUCGUAAACCUCUGUCGGAAGGGAAGAACGGGCAUUGGUCUAAUAGGCCUUUGUUUUGACGGUACCUUUAGAGGAAGCACCGGCUAACUCCGUGCCAGCAGCCGCGGUAAUACGGAGGGUGCAAGCGUUAUUCGGAAUUACUGGGCGUAAAGCGCACGUAGGCGGCCUUGUAAGUCAGGGGUGAAAUCCCACGGCUCAACCGUGGAACUGCCUUUGAAACUGCAGGGCUUGAAUCCUGGAGAGGGUGGCGGAAUUCCUGGUGUAGGAGUGAAAUCCGUAGAUAUCAGGAGGAACACCGGUGGCGAAGGCGGCCACCUGGACAGGCAUUGACGCUGAGGUGCGAAAGUGUGGGGAGCAAACAGGAUUAGAUACCCUGGUAGUCCACACCGUAAACGAUG
rnacentral:rRNA from 1 species